rnacentral:rRNA from 1 species
CGUGUAGGCGGUCAAGUAAGUGGAAUGUGAAAUCCCUCGGCUUACCCGAGGACCUGCAUCCCAAACUGCUUGGCUUGAGUAUGGGAGAGGAUGAGGGAAUUCCUGGUGUAGCGGUGAAAUGCGUAGAUAUCAGGAGGAACACCGGUGGCGAAGGCGCUCAUCUGGCCCAAUACUGACGCUGAGGCGCGAAAGCUAGGGGAGCGAACG